CUGCAGCCAAGUAAGCCGACCCUCCUCCUUUCCCCAUGGGGCCCAGCGGGCCACGGCUACAGACAGUGGUCUCCUCGGUAGUGUACGCAGACUAUUGCUUGUAUGGAUUGCCCUAACGGGCCCUGGAGACAGCC
ensembl:snoRNA SNORA70 Small nucleolar RNA SNORA70